GAUGAACGCUGGCGGCGUGCCUAAUACAUGCAAGUCGAGCGAACAGACGAGGAGCUUGCUCCUCUGACGUUAGCGGCGGACGGGUGAGUAACACGUGGAUAACCUACCUAUAAGACUGGGAUAACUUCGGGAAACCGGAGCUAAUACCGGAUAAUAUAUUGAACCGCAUGGUUCAAUAGUGAAAGACGGUUUUGCUGUCACUUAUAGAUGGAUCCGCGCCGCAUUAGCUAGUUGGUAAGGUAACGGCUUACCAAGGCAACGAUGCGUAGCCAACCUGAGAGGGUGAUCGGCCACACUGGAACUGAGACACGGUCCAGACUCCUACGGGAGGCAGCAGUAGGGAAUCUUCCGCAAUGGGCGAAAGCCUGACGGAGCAACGCCGCGUGAGUGAUGAAGGUCUUCGGAUCGUAAAACUCUGUUAUUAGGGAAGAACAAAUGUGUAAGUAACUAUGCACGUCUUGAUGGUACCUAAUCAGAAAGCCACGGCUAACUACGUG
rnacentral:rRNA from 1 species